CUGCUGCCUCCCGUAGGAGUCUGGUCCGUGUCUCAGUACCAGUGUGGGGGACCUUCCUCUCAGAACCCCUACGCAUCGUCGCCUCGGUGGGCCGUUACCCCGCCGACUAGCUAAUGCGCCGCAUGGCCACCCGCAGCCGAUGAAUCUUUAACCGCCGAGGGAUGCCCCUCUGCGGUGUUACGCGGUAUUAGACGGAAUUUCUUCCGCUUAUCCCCCUGCUGCGGGCAGGUUCCAUACGUGUUACUCACCCGUGCGCCGGUCGCCGGCGGG
rnacentral:rRNA from 1 species